rnacentral:rRNA from 1 species
GUACCAGACUCCUACGGGAGGCAGCAGUGAGGAAUAUUGGUCAAUGGGCGCGAGCCUGAACCAGCCAAGUCGCGUGAGGGAGGACGGCCCUACGGGUUGUAAACCUCUUUUGCCGGGGAGCAACGGGCGCCGCGUGUGGCGUCACUGAGAGUACCCGGAGAAAAAGCAUCGGCUAACUCCGUGCCAGCAGCCGCGGUAAUACGGAGGAUGCGAGCGUUAUCCGGAUUUAUUGGGUUUAAAGGGUGCGUAGGCGGAUCGUUAAGUCAGUGGUCAAAUUGAGGGGCUCAACCCCGGCCUGCCGUCGGAACUGGGUGCCUUGAGUGGGCGCGAAGUAUGCGGAAUGCGUGGUGUAGCGGUGAAAUGCAUAGAUAUCACGCAGAACCCCGAUUGCGAAGGCAGCAUACCGGCGCCCAACUGACGCUCAGGCACGAAAGCGUGGGUAUCGAACAGGAUUAGAUACCCCCGUACA